rnacentral:lncRNA from 1 species
AGCACCACUAUUAUAAUUUGUUCUCAAGAUAAUCAAAAUCAUAUGUGAAGCUAGGCAUGAUGGCAUAUUCCCCCACCCCCACUCCCAGCCCUGGAAAGCAGAAGCAGGGGAUCAUACCAUGUUCAAUGCUAUACUCUGGUCUACACAGAACUAGAGAAUGCUAACCUGAGAUACUGCACACAAUCGUUCAUUUUGUUCGGAUAUUCGACUUUGACCUAUGGAUUCAUUCCCUCUACUGUACUGCACGUUUUCGUCGUCAACUGAUCUCUCUCCAUUUAUCAUUAUCUCCCUCUCCACCUACCUCUACACUAUUUCUUAUAUAUGCAAAACACACAAUAAAUAAUGAAGAAUUAAAAUAAAAA